CCUACGGGUGGCAGCAGUGGGGAAUAUUGGACAAUGGGCGAAAGCCUGAUCCAGCCAUGUCGCGUGUGUGAAGAAGGCCUUCGGGUUGUAAAGCACUUUCAGUGGGGAAGAAAGCCUUGGGGCUAAUACCCUCGAGGAAGGACAUCACCCACAGAAGAAGCACCGGCUAACUCCGUGCCAGCAGCCGCGGUAAUACGGAGGGUGCGAGCGUUAAUCGGAAUUACUGGGCGUAAAGCGCGCGUAGGCGGUCUGAUAAGCCGGUUGUGAAAGCCCCGGGCUCAACCUGGGAACGGCAUCCGGAACUGUCAGGCUAGAGUGCAGGAGAGGAAGGUAGAAUUCCCGGUGUAGCGGUGAAAUGCGUAGAGAUCGGGAGGAAUACCAGUGGCGAAGGCGGCCUUCUGGACUGACACUGACGCUGAGGUGCGAAAGCGUGGGUAGCAAACAGGAUUAGAUACCCUUGUAGUC
rnacentral:rRNA from 1 species